CAGUCGCCGCGGUAAUACGGAGGGGGCUAGCGUUGUUCGGAAUUACUGGGCGUAAAGCGCACGUAGGCGGCGAUUUAAGUCAGAGGUGAAAGCCCGGGGCUCAACCCCGGAACUGCCUUUGAGACUGGAUUGCUAGAAUCUUGGAGAGGCGGGUGGAAUUCCGAGUGUAGAGGUGAAAUUCGUAGAUAUUCGGAAGAACACCAGUGGCGAAGGCGGCCCGCUGGACAAGUAUUGACGCUGAGGUGCGAAAGCGUGGGGAGCAAACAGGAUUAGAUACCCGGGUAGUCCCUGUCUCUUAUAC
rnacentral:rRNA from 1 species